CCUACGGGAGGCAGCAGUGAGGAAUAUUGGUCAAUGGCCGGGAGGCUGAACCAGCCAAGUCGCGUGAGGGAAGACGGCCCUACGGGUUGUAAACCUCUUUUGUCAGGGAGCAAGGUGCAGGUCGGGACCUGCUGUGAGAGUACCUGAAGAAAAAGCAUCGGCUAACUCCGUGCCAGCAGCCGCGGUAAUACGGAGGAUGCGAGCGUUAUCCGGAUUUAUUGGGUGUAAAGGGUGCGCAGGCGGAGGCACAAGUCAGCGGUAAAAUCGCGGGGCUCAACCCCGCUCCGCCGUUGAAACUGUGGCCCUUGAGUGCGCGAAGGGUAGGCGGAAUGCGUGGUGUAGCGGUGAAAUGCAUAGAUAUCACGCAGAACUCCGAUCGCGAAGGCAGCCUACCGGCGCGCAACUGACGCUCAUGCACGAAAGCGUGGGUAUCGAACAGGAUUAGAUACCCCAGUAGUC
rnacentral:rRNA from 1 species